AGUGAACGCUGGCGGUAGGCCUAACACAUGCAAGUCGAACGGCAGCACAGUAAGAGCUUGCUCUUACGGGUGGCGAGUGGCGGACGGGUGAGGAAUACAUCGGAAUCUACUUUUUCGUGGGGGAUAACGUAGGGAAACUUACGCUAAUACAGCAUACGACCUACGGGUGAAAGCAGGGGAUCUUCGGACCUUGCGCGAUUGAAUGAGCCGAUGUCGGAUUAGCUAGUUGGCGGGGUAAAGGCCCACCAAGGCGACGAUCCGUAGCUGGUCUGAGAGGAUGAUCAGCCACACUGGAACUGAGACACGGUCCAGACUCCUACGGGAGGCAGCAGUGGGGAAUAUUGGACAAUGGGCGCAAGCCUGAUCCAGCCAUACCGCGUGGGUGAAGAAGGCCUUCGGGUUGUAAAGCCCUUUUGUUUGGAAAGAAAAGCAGCAGGUUAAUACCCCGCUGUUCUGACGGUACCCAAAGAAUAAGCACCGGCUAACUUCGUG
rnacentral:rRNA from 1 species